AGUUCAAAACUCAUUAUCUUUGCAUGGAUUGUUGAUCUUUGUAACUGAAUAUAUGGAUUUGAGGUCCUUCCUAGUUGCUUGCAGCCACACAGGAUGUCCAACCUCUACGGAUGGUCCACUCGAAGAUUUAAUCUGAUCGAUCCCUCUGGAAGUGCUAGCUCGCACAAGGAUCAACUUGAUGAAAUGGAGGAGUAAGGUUCUAGAAGAUGAAGAGAGGAAGACACUCUUUUCUCUCUUUUAUCUCUUCUCACAAAACCCUAGAGUAGAAAUCCUAAGGAACCCAUCCUAGAACUCACACCC
rnacentral:lncRNA from 1 species